GAGAACGAGUUGUAAUCGGACAACAUUUUAGUAUGCAAAACUAAAAAUUGAGGGUUCAAAUCCCUCCGUUCUCG
rnacentral:tRNA from 1 species